ensembl:snRNA U6 U6 spliceosomal RNA
GGUUAAAUAGUGUCAAUAAAAAAAUUCAUCAGUCAUACAGAGAAGAUUAGCAUGGCCCCCCCGUGCGCAAAGAUGACACGCAAAUUCUUGAAGCGUUCCAUAUUUUU